GGCACUGUGUGGUAUCUGCAGCCAGCAGCACAUACUGCUGUGUAAAAGGACAGUGCAACAGAAAUUCCAACAAUAGAAUUCCAUCGUUGGCUUUCUCAGCUUUGUGCUAGUAAACCUGGUAUUUUUACUGAGACACCC